AGCCCAUGUUGUAAGCACCUUCUAAGCAAAUCCUUAAAUCACUCCCAAGCUUCAUACAAGGACUCACCAUCAAAUUGUGUAAAAGCAGUUAUAUUAUUCCUCAUCUC
rnacentral:snoRNA from 1 species